CUAGUCUUAAGGCCAUAGACGACGGGAUACGCGAGAAUGAUAACACGUGGCGCGUUGAGAGUUACAAACAACAAACAACAUACAUGUGAAACUAAUAUAAGCGUGUUAAUAAUUGUAUUCACAUAUUUUUUUUGCUUUGUUACGGAGCUUAGGUCAUUGUUUUACCAUGUUUCUUUUUAUAUCUGCCCAUUAAUAUUCUCAGCUGUACUGGAUCGAUAUUGUUUAUAUAAAUGUUAAAAGAACCUGAUUUUAAUUUACUUGUACGUCUCAGCAUCAAAAAUUAUAAUAAACCUUUAUUUAAAUAAAAUUAAAAAUAAUAUUUCAAAAUUACCCUUCCGUAAAUAUAUAAUUUUAAAAUUUUUUUUUGAAUUUUAAAACUGUUAUAUAAACACUGACUUUAAUGAAAUAAUAGAAAAGUACUAAAUACAAUUAAUAAGAUUAUUAUUAAUCUACUACAUGUUUUAUAUAUGUGUUAAUCACUGUCAGAUAUCACUUAUACUUGCCGCGGCUAUACUAUACUGCGUGCCUACUGUACUGAUGUUUUUGUACUUGCAAUUUUUAAAAUAAUUAUCUUUCAUUAAGGGGUAAUAUCCACCAAAUUUUUUUUUAUUGGCUUUAACCAUGCUUAAACUAUUCUAGAAUCAAAAUAUUCAACGCCCAAGUACUGAUCUAAACUCAAAAUUCGUUUAAAUCAAUUUUUACCGAACAACAUUUUGGCUCCAAAAUCACAUUUUUCGCUUAUUUUAGCGAUGCUCGUUUUUUUUUAAUUUCGCGGCUUUGUAAAUUAGUAGAAGUUACCUAUGAUCGAUAUCGUGUUUUGAAUUUGAAGUAUAGAAUUUCGACCGUUACUACAGCGUCUGUACAGCACGUGUUUACUUACAAUUUCCUUUUUUUUAGUCGAUCAGCCAUUCUCGUUGUGUACGUUCUUAGUUUGAGUUUUGCUAUACUUUUUAACUGUGAAUUAUAUUCAAAAGUAUUUAAUUAUGAGUGACAAGGUGUACAUAAGGCCACAAAGGCAGUAAAACAAGAAGUACCAGAACAACCCGGAGUAAAAUUAGUAACUGACACCCGCCUAACCGCCAUGCGUUCGAAGGCGAUUCGGAGUACGUUAGUACCUCGGCGACAAAAUUAAAAACUUCUGAUUUAAACCGUGAUCGCGAUGUUGAUAGGGAUUUCGGCUACUGUUUCAUACAUUUUUUCUCUGUAUUUACUGCUCUUUCUGAAUUAUUAGUGUGUAAAAAAUGUAAUAGUGAUGUGCGGUUUUCACAGUCGAGCAAGCGUUGACUAGGCUUCAAAAUUGUUGUGUCUUGUUCGAACUGCGUUGAUGCCGAUAUUUUUAAUUAUCAUUGGCAUAGGCAUAAACGGUAUAAAAAAGUUCUUUGUGAUGAUGGAUCUCGCAAAGCCUGUUUUUCAAAUAACUUACAGUAUGAUCAUUUCCAAUAUCGGCACUGCUACUUCAUCUGUUAAAAUUAAUUCUAUGAAAAAAUCAGCUAUUGAAGAUAAAAAAGAACGUUCUAUUGAACGAGGUGAAGAAGGCGGUCUUACGGUGUCAGGCGAUGGAUCUUGGCGUAAGAGGUGGUUUUCAUCUUUGUUUGCAUUAGUUACUUUGAUUGGUUGGCACACUGGCAAGGUAUUAGAUGUGUGUAUAAAAUCAAAGUACUGUAAAGUGUGUGAAUAUUGGCAAAAAUAAGAAGGUACUGCUGAGUACGAGGAGGUGUACCCUUCGCACAAAGAGAGUGUUCUUGGUGUUUUUGGCAUCGCAGUAAAGCGCUUGGUACUCUUGCACCAUACGAGCACAAGAGUCCAAUGCAUGAGGAUGUUUUCAAGGCGAUACAACCCAUUUAUAAAGAACUCAGCUCCGACAACCUUCUGUCACGCUGCUUGGGUGAGUAUUCUCAAAAUAGUAACGAGUAUUUCAAUGCUGUAGUGUGGUCAAUUGUUCCAAAAAUGAUAUCUAGCGAUAAGACUAUAGUUGAUAUUGCGACUGAUGUAGCCGUUAUUACCUUCAACGAAGGCUUGUCGGGUCUGUUUGCCGUUUAUGAUGCUCUUGGGUUAACCGUUGGACCAAACAAUUACGAGUUUUGCGUGGGAUCGGACGCCAAUCGCGUCAAAGUCGUUGAUCAUUGUAUGUCCGAUAUGGCGAAAGAGGCUAGGCGCAGCCUUACAUCAGACAAAAAAAAGGAAUAAGAGGAAAAUAAGGACCAGGAAGGACAACUUAACAGCGCAGGGAUAGCUGACUAGGUGGAGUUGGGCACGACUUCUACUGCUUGCCGCGGAAGAACUUUCUAAAUAAGCGGUUCACGGCAAUCGCUGCACAGCGGCCAUUUUGUAAAAAAAAUAACAAUAAAAAAUUUUUAUAGUUAUAAA